rnacentral:tRNA from 1 species
GGUUAAAUAAGCUUUAGAAAAGCAUUUACUUUGAAAGUAAAAGACAAUGGUUAAAUCCCAUUAUUAACCU